CCUACGUGAGGCAGCAGUGAGGAAUAUUGGUCAAUGGCCGGGAGUCUGAACCAGCCAAGUAGCGUGAAGGAUGACUGCCCUACGGGUUGUAAACCUCUUUUAUCAAGGAAUAAAACGCAGCACGGGACCCUUUUUGCAAGUACCUUAUGAAUAAGGAUCGGCUAACUCCGUGCCAGCAGCCGCGGUAAUACGGAGGAUGCGAGCGUUAUCCGGAUUUAUUGGGUUUAAAGGGUGCGGAGGUGGGGUGUCAAGUCCAUUGGGAAAGUUGGGGGGUUAACCGUAACAGUGCAAUUGAGACUGUCAGCCUUGAGUACAGUUGAGGGAGGCGGAAUUCGUGGUGUAGCGGUGAAAUGCUUAGAUAUCACGCAGAACCCCGAUUGCGAAGGCAGCUUAC
rnacentral:rRNA from 1 species